rnacentral:lncRNA from 1 species
GGUCCCGGUGUCGUCACACUGGUGUCACACUGUCACGCUAUGGGUCCCGGUGUCACACUGGGUGCUAUGGGUCCCGGUGUCACGCUGUGAUUCUAUGGGUCCCGGUGUCACACUGUCACGCUAUGGGUCUUGGUGCCACACUGGGCGCUGUGGGUCCCGGUGUCGUCACACUGGUGUCACACUGUCACGCUAUGGGUCCCGGUGUCACACUGGGUGCUAUGGGUCCCAGUGUCACACUGGGGCACUAUGGGUCCCCACUGUCCCCUCGGUGUCACACUGUCACGCUAUGGGUCCCGCUGUCACACUGACGCUGUGGGUCCCAGUGUCACAUCGGUGCCACGCUGUGAUUCUGUGGGUCCUGGUGUCACACUGGGCGCUGUGGGUCCCGGUGUCGUCACACUGGUGUCACACUGUCACGCUAUGGGUCUUGGUGCCACACUGGGGCACUGUGGGUCCUGGUGUCACACGGGGUGCUGUGGGUCCCUGUGUCACA